GAUGAACGCUGGCGGCGUGCUUAACACAUGCAAGUCGAACGGAGAAGGCAGGAGCUUGCUCUUUCCGGAUGAGUCGAGAACGGGAGAGUAACGUGUGGAUCCUCUGCUUGACAGUGGGGGAACUCUAUUGGAAACGGUCGCUUAUAGGGCAUAACCGCCGAUGUUGUGUGGUGUCUACGAAAAAUGUGCCAUUGCACCACUACCUCACGGCCUUGCGUUGUAUUAGUUGGUUGGUGAGGUAACGGCUCACCAAGGCGGCGCUACAUAGCCGACCUGAGAGGGUGGUCGGCCACACUGGGACGGAGACACGGCCCAGACUGCCACAGGAGGCAGCAGUAGGGAAUCUUCGGCAAGGGACGGAAGUCUGACCGAGCAACGCCGCGUGAGUGAAGAAGGAUGUCGGAUCGUAAAGCUCUGUUGUAAGGGAAGAACGAGUGUGAGAGUGGAAAGUUCACACUGUGACGGUAUCUGACCAGAAAGAGACGGCUAACUACGUG
rnacentral:rRNA from 1 species